UACGAAGGGAACUAGCGUUGUUCGGAAUCACUGGGCGUAAAGCGGGCGCAGGCGGACUAUCAAGUCAGGGGUGAAAUCCUGAGGCUUAACCUCAGAAUUGCCUUUGAAACUGAUAGUCUGGAGUGUGUGAGGGGGUAGCGGAAUUCCGAAUGUAGAGGUGAAAUUCGUAGAUAUUCGGAGGAACACCGGUGGCGAAGGCGGCUACCUGGCACACAACUGACGCUGAGGCCCGAAAGCGUGGGGAUCAAACAGG
rnacentral:rRNA from 1 species